rnacentral:rRNA from 1 species
ACGCCACCUUCGGGUGGAGUGGCAGACGGGUGAGUAACGCGUGGGAACGUACCUAUUGGUUCGGAAUAUUCUCGGGAAACUGAGAGCAAUACCGAAUAAGCCCUGAGGGGGAAAGAUUUAUCGCCAAUAGAUCGGCCCGCGUUAGAUUAGGUAGUUGGUAGGGUAAUGGCCUACCAAGCCUACGAUCUAUAGCUGGUCUGAGAGGAUGAUCAGCCACAUUGGGACUGAGACACGGCCCAAACUCCUACGGGAGGCAGCAGUGGGGAAUAUUGGACAAUGGGCGCAAGCCUGAUCCAGCCAUGCCGCGUGAAUGAUGAAGGCCUUAGGGUUGUAAAAUUCUUUCAACGGUGAAGAUAAUGACGGUAACCGUAGAAGAAGCCCCGGCUAACUUCGUGCCAGCAGCCGCGGUAAUACGAAGGGGGCUAGCGUUGUUCGGAAUUACUGGGCGUAAAGCGCACGUAGGCGGGCUGAUUAGUUGGUGGUGAAAUCCCAGAGCUCAACUCUGGAACUGCCAUCAAUACUGUCAGCCUGGAGCAUAGUAGAGGUUAGUGGAAUUCCAAGUGUAGAGGUGAAAUUCGUAGAUAUUUGGAGGAACACCAGUGGCGAAGGCGACUGACUGGGCUAUUGCUGACGC